rnacentral:rRNA from 17 species
CGUGAGGGAAAGGUGAAAAGAACCGCGGGAGCGGAGUGAAAAAGAACCUGAAACCGUAUGCCUACAAGAAGUCAGAGCCCGUUAAAGGGUGAUGGCGUGCCUUUUGUAGAAUGAACCGGCGAGUUACGAUAUUAUGCGAGGUUAAGCUGAGAAGAGCGGAGCCGCAGCGAAAGCGAGUCUUAAUAGGGCGGAAGUAGAAUGUCGUAGACCCGAAACCGGGUGAUCUAGC